rnacentral:rRNA from 1 species
UACAGAGGGGGCAAGCGUUGUUCGGAAUUACUGGGCGUAAAGGGCGCGUAGGCGGCCUGCUAAGUCGAACGUGAAAUCCCUGGGCUCAACCCAGGAACUGCGUCCGAUACUGGUUGGCUUGAAUCCGGGAGAGGGAUGUGGAAUUCCAGGUGUAGCGGUGAAAUGCGUAGAUAUCUGGAGGAACACCGGUGGCGAAGGCGACAUCCUGGACCGGUAUUGACGCUGAGGCGCGAAAGCCAGGGGAGCAAACGG